UUUUUUGAAAAAUUUUAAAUUUGUUAACGUUUUUUAAAAUAAUUAUAUUAUUUUUGUAUUUAAUAAAAAUUUAUUAAUAAUUUAACUGAAAAGGAAAAUUGAAAAGUUUUAAAAAUUUUUAAAAAUUAAAAAGUUCAUUUAAGGUACCUUUUGCAUCAGGGUUUUUUAAAAAAAUUAAAAUAUUUUUAUCUUCCCGAAGUCAAAAUGAUCUAUUUAAAUAUAAAUUUUUAUGUUAUAUUAUAAUAAUUAAUGUUUGAAUAGAAAUGAAAUUUUUUUCGUGUUUGGUGAUAUCUGGUUAUUUAAUAUUGAUUUUAGAUCAGAAUUAUAAAUGUAAUUUUUUUUUAUUUUUAUAAUUUAUUCUGUCAGGGAUAAGCUUGAUAGAUUUCUUUAUAAUGAAAAAUUUUUUAAGUUGAGGAUUAAAAUUUUCUAUGUUUUUUUACAAAAACCUUAUAGGUAUUAAAAUAAUUUAAGAUUUUUAUUUGAUUAAAUAAAUUUUUAAUUUAGUGAAAUUAUUAAAAAAUUAGUAAAUGAUUAUAAAAUUAAUAAUAAUUAAGUUUUAUUUAAAAAUUAAAAAUAAUAUUAAAGGAAUUCGGCAAUAAUGUUAGUUGACUGUUUAUCAAAAACAUUUCAUUUUGAAAAUUAAUAAAAUGUAUAAUCUGCUCAAUGAAUAAUUUAAAUUGCUGUGGUAUUUUGACUAUACGAAGGUAUUGAAAUAAGAUUUUAAAUGAGUGCUAAGAGAAUGGUUGAACAAUUAUAAGCUUUCUUUAAUUUAAUAAUUAAAUUUAAUUUUUUUGUGAAGAAGCAAAAAUAAGAAUUAGGGACAAGAAGACCCUAUGAAUUUUAAUUUAUUUAUUAUAUAAAAUAUGUUAAAUAAAUUUAAUUGGGGCGAUUGGAAAAGAAUAAGUAUCUUUUUUUAAAAAUUUUUAAAAAUUGGUUCCGUUUUUAGCGAUUAAAUGAAAAAAAUACUCUAGGGAUAACAGCGUAAUAAUUUUGGAUAGUUCAUAUUGAUAAAAUAGUUUGCGACCUCGAUGUUGGAUUAGGAUUCUUUUUUGGUGAAGAAAUUAUAAAAAGAAGUUUGUUCAACUUUUAAUUUCCUACAUGAUCUGAGUUCAGACCGGCGUGAGCCAGGUUGGUUUCUAUCUUAAUUUAUAUAUAUAUAUUUUUUUAGUACGAAAGGAAUUAAAAAUUUAAAUUUUUUAAUAUUAAAAAAAAAUUUAAUAAUUUUACUAAUUUGGCAGAAAAAU
rnacentral:rRNA from 1 species